UAAGUAUAAGCAAUUAUACCGUGAAACUGCGAAUGGCUCAUUAAAUCAGUUAUCGUUUAUUUGAUAGUACCUUACUACUUGGAUAACCGUGGUAAUUCUAGAGCUAAUACAUGCUAAAAACCCCGACUUCGGGAGGGGUGUAUUUAUUAGAUAAAAAACCAACGCCCUUCGGGGCUCCUUGGUGAAUCAUAAUAACUUAACGGAUCGCAUGGCCUUGCGCCGGCGACGGUUCAUUCAAAUUUCUGCCCUAUCAACUUUCGAUUGUAGGGUAUUGGCCUACAAUGGUAUCAACGGGUAACGGGGAAUUAGGGUUCGAUUCCGGAGAGGGAGCCUGAGAAACGGCUACCACAUCCAAGGAAGGCAGCAGGCGCGCAAAUUACCCAAUCCCGACACGGGGAGGUAGUGACAAUAAAUACUGAUACAGGGCUCUUUUGGGUCUUGUAAUUGGAAUGAGUACAAUUUAAAUCCCUUAACGAGGAACAAUUGGAGGGCAAGUCUGGUGCCAGCAGCCGCGGUAAUUCCAGCUCCAAUAGCGUAUAUUAAAGUUGUUGCAGUUAAAAAGCUCGUAGUUGAACCUUGGGCCUGGCUGGCCGGUCCGCCUCACCGCGUGCACUGGUCCGGCCGGGCCUUUCCUUCUGGAGAGCCGCAUGCCCUUCACUGGGCGUGUCGGGGAACCAGGACUUUUACUUUGAAAAAAUUAGAGUGUUCAAAGCAGGCCUUUGCUCGAAUACAUUAGCAUGGAAUAAUAGAAUAGGACGUGCGGUCCUAUUUUGUUGGUUUCUAGGACCGCCGUAAUGAUUAAUAGGGAUAGUCGGGGGCAUCAGUAUUCAAUUGUCAGAGGUGAAAUUCUUGGAUUUAUUGAAGACUAACUACUGCGAAAGCAUUUGCCAAGGAUGUUUUCAUUAAUCAGUGAACGAAAGUUAGGGGAUCGAAGACGAUCAGAUACCGUCGUAGUCUUAACCGUAAACUAUGCCGACUAGGGAUCGGCGGAUGUUAUUAUUUUGACUCGCUCGGCACCUUACGAGAAAUCAAAGUUUUUGGGUUCU
rnacentral:rRNA from 1 species